rnacentral:lncRNA from 1 species
GGCCAUAACGUGUCUUUUUCUGUAGAGGACAAUGAUCACAAAGUUUCAGAAAUAUAUGUUUCAUGACUUAUGUUGGCAAAUGUGUUUUCAUGUAAUUGUAUGUUAUAUGCAGUCCAUCAUGGCUUAAAUAAGUGUGAAACUAUUUACUAAAAGCUUGCAUUUCCUCAACUCAAUGACAAUUACAUUAGAUACUAGUAACUAAAUUCUUCCAAAAAAUUUAAGAACGAUGCCUAAUAAUUUUGGGUAAUACUCCUCCCUCUCAUUUUAUAGCAUGCAAAGACUAAAACAAUGUCUUAUAUGCUUACUCUGUAAAAGCAAGAGAGAGCUGCAAUAGUUUUCAUUGGACCACGCUUCAUUUCAAUAUCUUUGGAUCUACUCUUCAACAUUUUUGGCCUUCAGCAUGACUUAUGUAAAUUUAUAACUCAAUCUUGUUUUAUAAACUCUAGGAUCAUUGCAUGAGGCGAAUGUCAUUUUGAUGUUUAAAAUAUAUCCUCUACUUUGAAAGCAUGUAUUUGUGGCCUUUGGUGGUU